UAAAAACACACAAAAAUUUGUAAAUAAGUUAAAAAAUUAAAAUUAAUCUUCGUUUAUAUAUACAUGUGUAUAUAGAUUAAUCUAUGGCGCAGAAGCGGUUUGUGUUGACAGAAAGGCCUUAACUAUCUUUAAAGAUAGUCAAACGUUGUGGCAUAUAUUUGAAACCAGCUAUAUUUUCAAAGAUUGACUAUAUUGAACAGAUUGAACAGAGUAGUGGAUCUGACCCUGUAGGCUUGGCAGGUUUAACUGAUCUUUAGUUAACGACAUAGCUGAUCAUUAGCAUAAUAAUUUGAAGUUAGUGUUGAAGCACUCGCUGUCUCUUUGCAAACUUUUUAAAUGAUGAGCCUCGCGUUCUUCCAUUGCGUAUACAAAAUGUCAAUGUACUUAAAGACUAUUUUUUAAAAACUCAAUUAAUUGAAAUUUAUGUAAUGAAUUAUUUCUCCAAAUACGCAUAAAUUUUGAAGCUUCUCAA